CUGGUGUCAGCCGCCGCGGUAAUACCAGCACCCCGAGUGGUCGGGACGUUUAUUGGGCCUAAAGCAUCCGUAGCCGGUUCUACAAGUCUUCCGUUAAAUCCAACUGCUUAACAGGUGGGCUGCGGAAGAUACUAUAGAGCUAGGAGGCGGGAGAGGCAAGCGGUACUCGAUGGGUAGGGGUAAAAUCCGUUGAUCCAUUGAAGACCACCAGUGGCGAAGGCGGCUUGCCAGAACGCGCUCGACGGUGAGGGAUGAAAGCUGGGGGAGCAAACCGGAUUAGAUACCCGGGUAGUCCCAGCUGUAAACGAUGCAGACUCGGUGAUGAGUUGGCUAUAUGCCAUCUCAGUGCCGCAGGGAAGCCGUUAAGUUUGCCGCCUGGGGAGUACGGUCGCAAGACUGAAACUUAAAG
rnacentral:rRNA from 2 species